rnacentral:rRNA from 1 species
GGUCCAGACUUUGAUCAGGGGUCAGGAUGAACGCUAGCUACAGGCUUAACACAUGCAAGUCGAGGGGAAACGACAUCGAAAGCUUGCUUUUGAUGGGCGUCGACCGGCGCACGGGUGAGUAACGCGUAUCCAACCUGCCCACCACUUGGGGAUAACCUUGCGAAAGUAAGACUAAUACCCAAUGACGUCUCUAGAAGACAUCUGAAAGAGAUUAAAGAUUUAUCGGUGAUGGAUGGGGAUGCGUCUGAUUAGCUUGUUGGCGGGGUAACGGCCCACCAAGGCAACGAUCAGUAGGGGUUCUGAGAGGAAGGUCCCCCACAUUGGAACUGAGACACGGUCCAAACUCCUACGGGAGGCAGCAGUGAGGAAUAUUGGUCAGUGGACGAGAGUCUGAACCAGCCAAGUAGCGUGCAGGAUGACGGCCCUAUGGGUUGUAAACUGCUUUUAUAAGGGAAUAAAGUGAGUCUCGUGAGACUUUUUGCAUGUACCUUAUGAAUAAGGACCGGCUAAUUCCGUGCCAGCAGCCGCGGUAAUACGGAAGGUCCGGGCGUUAUCCGGAUUUAUUGGGUUUAAAGGGAGCGUAGGCCGGAGAUUAAGCGUGUUGUGAAAUGUAGACGCUCAACGUCUGCACUGCAGCGCGAACUGGGUUCCUUGAGUACGCACAAAGUGGGCGGAAUUCGUGGUGUAGCAGUGAAAUGCUUAGAUAUCACGAAGAACUCCGAUUGCGAAGGCAGCUCACUGGGAGCGCAACUGACGCUGAAGCUCGAAAGUGCGGGUAUCGAACAGGAUUAGAUACCCUGGUAGUCCGCACGGUAAACGAUGGAUGCCCGCUGUUGGUCUGAAUAGGUCAGCGGCCAAGCGAAAGCAUUAAGCAUCCCACCUGGGGAGUACUCCGGCACCGGUGAAACUCAAAGGACAUCGACGGAGGGGCGAACAGGCGUCCGCUUAUCAU